rnacentral:sRNA from 14 species
UCGUUAAAAAAAUGAACAAAAAAUAUACGCGAAUAAGAAAGAUGGCAUUCUAUGUUCAAAACCUCUCGCAAGAAUCUCCCCCC